rnacentral:rRNA from 1 species
GACGAACGCUGGCGGCGUGCUUAACACAUGCAAGUCGAACGGAAAGGCCCUGCUUUUGUGGGGUGCUCGAGUGGCGAACGGGUGAGUAACACGUGAGUAACCUGCCCUUGACUUUGGGAUAACUUCAGGAAACUGGGGCUAAUACCGGAUAGGAGCUCCUGCUGCAUGGUGGGGGUUGGAAAGUUUCGGCGGUUGGGGAUGGACUCGCGGCUUAUCAGCUUGUUGGUGGGGUAGUGGCUUACCAAGGGUUUGACGGGUAGCCGGCCUGAGAGGGUGACCGGCCACAUUGGGACUGAGAUACGGCCCAGACUCCUACGGGAGGCAGCAGGUGGGAUUAUUGCACAAUGGGCGGAAGCCUGAGGCAGCAACGCCGCGUGCGGGAUGACGGCCUUCGGGUUGUAAACCGCUUUCGCCUGUGACGAAGCGUGAGUGACGGUAAUGGGUAAAGAAGCACCGGCUAACUACGUG